GAUGAACGCUGGCGGCGUGCCUAAUACAUGCAAGUCGAGCGAACGGACGAGAAGCUUGCUUCUCUGAUGUUAGCGGCGGACGGGUGAGUAACACGUGGAUAACCUACCUAUAAGACUGGGAUAACUUCGGGAAACCGGAGCUAAUGCCGGAUAAUAUUUUGAACCGCAUGGUUCAAAAGUGAAAGACGGUCUUGCCGUCACUUAUAGAUGGAUCCGCGCUGCAUUAGCUAGUUGGUAAGGUAACGGCUUACCAAGGCAACGAUGCAUAGCCGACCUGAGAGGGUGAUCGGCCACACUGGAACUGAGACACGGUCCAGACUCCUACGGGAGGCAGCAGUAGGGAAUCUUCCGCAAUGGGCGAAAGCCUGACGGAGCAACGCCGCGUGAGUGAUGAAGGUCUUCGGAUCGUAAAACUCUGUUAUUAGGGAAGAACAUAUGUGUAAGUAACUGUGCACAUCUUGACGGUACCUAAUCAGAAAGCCACGGCUAACUACGUG
rnacentral:rRNA from 1 species